GGAUUAGAUACCCUGGUAGUCCACGCCGUAAACGAUGUCGACUUGGAGGUUGUUCCCUUGAGGAGUGGCUUCCGGAGCUAACGCGUUAAGUCGACCGCCUGGGGAGUACGGCCGCAAGGUUAAAACUCAAAUGAAUUGACGGGGGCCCGCACAAGCGGUGGAGCAUGUGGUUUAAUUCGAUGCAACGCGAAGAACCUUACCUACUCUUGACAUGCACGGAAUUCGGCAGAGAUGCCUUAGUGCCUUCGGGAACCGUGAGACAGGUGCUGCAUGGCUGUCGUCAGCUCGUGUUGUGAAAUGUUGGGUUAAGUCCCGCAACGAGCGCAACCCUUAUCCUUUGUUGCCAGCGAUUCGGUCGGGAACUCAAAGGAGACUGCCGGUGAUAAACCGGAGGAAGGUGGGGAUGACGUCAAGUCAUCACGGCCCUUACGAGUAGGGCUACACACGUGCUACAAUGGCGCAUACAAAGAGAAGCGACCUCGCGAGAGCAAGCGGACCUCACAAAGUGCGUCGUAGUCCGGAUCGGAGUCUGCAACUCGACUCCGUGAAGUCGGAAUCGCUAGUAAUCGUGGAUCAGAAUGCCACGGUGAAUACGUUCCCGGGCCUUGUACACACCGCCCGUCACACCAUGGGAGUGGGCUGCAAAAGAAGUAGGUAGCUUAACCUUCGGGAGGGCGCUUACCACUUUGUGAUUCAUGACUGGGGUGAAGUCGUAACAAGGUAGC
rnacentral:rRNA from 1 species